CGGAGAUUCAGCAAUGGAUCUUAGUGGCGAACGGGUGAGUAACGCGUAGGCAAUCUGCCUUCUAGAUGGGGACAACAUCCCGAAAGGGGUGCUAAUACCGAAUGUUGUAAUUGGUUCGCAUGGACUAGCUACUAAAGGUGGCCUCUGAAUAUGCUACCGCUAGAAGAUGAGCCUGCGUCUGAUUAGCUAGUUGGAGGGGUAACGGCCCACCAAGGCUUCGAUCAGUAGCCGGUCUGAGAGGAUGAACGGCCACACUGGGACUGAGACACGGCCCAGACUCCUACGGGAGGCAGCAGUGGGGAAUCUUCCGCAAUGGACGAAAGUCUGACGGAGCAACGCCGCGUGAGUGAAGAAGGUUUUCGGAUCGUAAAGCUCUUUCGUUAGGGACGAACGUGCUCUUUGUGAAUAAUGAGGAGUAAUGACGGUACCUAAAUAAGAAGCCACGGCUAACUACGUGCCAGCAGCCGCGGUAAUACGUAGGUGGCAAGCGUUGUCCGGAAUUAUUGGGCGUAAAGCGCGCGCAGGCGGGAUAUC
rnacentral:rRNA from 1 species